CUGCCUUAGCGAUCCUGCGCAGAUACUAAGAUGUGUUGAUAUUUGGGAACACAAUAAGGAAUUGAUCCGCAAGCGCACGGAUAUCGGUGAGCACUUCACCCGGGAGGUUAUCUAAAGUAUCGUAUUUAUUUUUUUACCACUAGGAGAAAGAGUGCAUCUGACUAACCUGGUCUAUUACUACUAACCUUUAGGCUACAAAGAAUGUUUCUCGAUGUGAGUGAUAUAUAGAGAAGACUACAACUGUAAUCUCUUUCUAACCUUGGUAAGGAUGAUCUAUUGUUCUAUUGAGGAAGCUUACAGAAUCUAGACACCACAGAGGAUGUUCAACCCGCACCUAUAAACCCUAUCCUUCCUGCUAACGAGAUAUGGUUUGCAAAGGUAACUCGGAAAUGUCACGUUCCUCGCUACUACCACGGUCCAGCUAGUCAGGGGAUAUCUAUGAUUAUCCUAGCCCAAACAUCACGUCUACGCUAGAGAUGAUUACUCUAAACUCUACGCGAAGAGAUUAAAGUAAACUCAUAAACCAAAAGAACAAUAAAACAAGAACUUACUAGAAUUUAGAAGUCGAAAUAUUGAAGAAUCCUAGGAGCAAGCUUCGGGUUAGGAGAACUUGAUCCCGCAGGUACAACCUCGGAGUAGACACCGACAGGCCGUGCUUCCUCCGAUCCACACCUCCACUCUAUCUCUCUCAAUCUACUAGAAACUAAAAGAUCUAAUUCUACUCACAUUGGUUGCUAAGCCCUAAAAAAGUCUAUUUAGAGGAGAGGUAUUCCUUCGAGGGCUCCUCUCAACUCUAUGAUGAACUUGUCUCCUCCAGGGGCCAGGGGGUCUGGUUUUAUAGUCCCCUCAAGUGAACGUGAGCCGUCGGAUCAAACCGACAUUGAUUGAACGGUUAUCCUUGAUCCUUUAGGUCGGUGGAGCUUGGUCCGCGAAAAGAGUUCUGAUUGGAGUCCAGAGGGGGGCGGGUGCCCUGGUCCCUAGGGUGGGCACCCUGGGCCAGGCCCCGUUCGGCCUCCGCUUCAUUCUCGUGGCUUCUGGAGCCUUCUAGAUGGUAGAAAAUUGCGCGGUGCGUUGAUAUCUCUAUGUAAUCCAGACAUGUGGGCCUUUCUUCCUUAUUUCCUGAUAACCCCCUGUAGAAACAGAUAAACAACAAAACUCGUGGAAUUCUGUCAGAUCAAACCCUAAUUCUAGGUGUUGUUUGCAUAUUGGUCCUUUCUCUUGUUUAUUUGAUAAUUAAAAUUGAUACUUAAGAACCGUCAACAAAUACCCCCAUACUUAGGCUUUUACUCGUCCUCGAGAAAAGGAUGGUUAAGAACAAUAUCUAGGGUAAAACAUUUUAAAACAUUUUCUUCAUAUCUGCAGGGUGUUGUAAAAAUUCACUGUAUACUGUAGUCAAGGAAAUAUAUGAUCAAGAGUAGAGGUCCUUUCUUCUCAAUCCUGUCACUUGGAGUUUUUGCAUAUUUUUGAAAAUAAAUUUAGCAUACAUUUUUAUCCUCAUAGGUUCUCUCAGAUCACUCAUUUGUCUUUUAUAUAUCUCACUGAAGCUAUUUUAAUUUGCAAAAAAUCUCAAGCAUACUUACCUUGCAUUUAUUGCCUGAUCAAAAUGGGAUCCGAGGAGGGGAAUGUCAUACUCUUAGAUCAAAGACUUUGGAAAUUAAAAACUUGUCAACUCUUGCUGGCAUAUUGCUUAUUAGAGGGACCAUGGGCUAUUAUUUUCUUUUUCUUCUUUUUUUUAAGUGGAUACCGAGGUACCCCUAAUUCUACUGCCGGACACUUGUCCAUUUUUUUCUACGAGGUUGUCGAGCACUUGCUCCUUUUUAUUUCCUCGAAAUAUCUUUAUUUUUGCAUAGCCCAUGCCUCUAAUGCAAUAAUACUUCGGAAGAGUGAAUCUUUCUGAAUAAAUGUCUUGAUCUUAGGAGCAUGAUAAAUCUCUCAAAAAGGGUCUAACUCAUUUUCAACAAACUCAAUACAGAGUAGAUAGCUUUUAUAAUUAUCAUAUUAAUAUUUUCAGGUUUAUCAGGCAUAUAAAACACUGAGGAUGGUAGCUAGAAUUUUUGAAGAUUUUGAAAUAAAUUCUCCAAGCAACAUUAAGAAACUCAUACGCUACCAUCUCACAUUCCGCAAUGACUUAAGUAACACAGGGUUUUAAAAUGAUUUUUCAGUAAUUGCAAGUUUUCAGGAAAUAUUACAGAGUGAGAUUAAUCAUGAUUAGAAACAUUUUAAUCUUUUUAAUUUAUCAUGUCGGAGACAAUAUUCUGCAUAAUCCAAGAUAUAUAUAUGUGUGUGUAAAGUAAAGUGUGCAGAGUAUGUACCUGAAUUGUGGAGUGGUGUAGUCGAAGUGUGUUUGGCAUGUCGAGGGAUCUCCCCCAUACUUGUUUUCUGCUUUCUUGCAUAAAAAUAAAGUAGAGACACACAAGAAAUAAUAAUAAUACUCUUUAUUAAUCUUGAGGCAUUUAUUACAAAUGACUAGUAGCAAACUGAUGAUAAUAGUAAAAUCUAACCGAAUUUAAAGAUAAAUACUCAAGAUCUAAUCUAGAUAACUUAGCGACGCUCUAAUUCCUUUAUCUUCUUAUUGGCAUUAGCAAGAUCAUGCCUAAGGUCUAGUAUAACGGUGUUGUGGUUAGAGAGCUGUCUAGUGAUGGAGUUAACCGAGGACUGGAGGUCUACGAUAACUCUGUCUAGCCUACGAACGUCCUCAUCAAUAUCUACUAUAGUCUUGCGACGCUUAGGAGGUGUCUCAAAAGUAUUGAGAGCGUGCUUCGGGGCUGCCUUUGGAGGGAUGAAACAGACUUUGGCUGCUCUAAUCCCUUCAAAGUAAGGUCUCUCCUCCUCCGUAGUGUAGCGGAUGCUACUGAUCUCGCCGCUCCGGUUGGUCUUGACUCCAACGACCCUCUCAUUGGGUCUAGGUGGAAGGAUCCUUGUGCCGGUUGGCACCUUGAUGGUGGUCUCCUUCUUGGCUGAUGGUCCCUUGAGAAGUAGGGGUUGUGGCGGUGCGGUGAGAACUGGUUGAGCAUAGUAGGAUUGGGCAGAGCUGCGCUAGCAUAAUGGCAUGGCUUCUAGCUAUAGCUCUGUGUUGUCCGGGACGAGAGCACGGGCGUUGGGGUCUUCCUCAGGCUUCAUGUUGAGGCUGAAGGGGACGACUUCCCAAUCAUCGUGGAACUCUUCGGCCGUUGGAGCAGCGAGGACUAAGCAAGCUCUAAUUGAAAAAGGAGAGAAGGCUUGGAUAGAUUGGUGUUUGAAAACUGACGUCAGGGUCUGUUUAUAUAGGGGUCAAAAAGUGCCUCAAGCGUGUUUCUAGAUGCAAAACUAAUUAGGAAAAUAUAUGUAUGACCCAAAAACGUCAAAUUAAAAGUGUCGGGCUCUAACUCUCCAUGGGAAGGUAAAGUUGGAUUACGUCUAUUUCUUCUAAUUCUUUAUUGGGCUCUAAAAAUAAUUUAAGACGUUGACCAUUUACCUUGAAUAAUGUACCUUCGUCAUUUUGAAGUGUGAUAGCUCCGUGGGAUGAUGAAUUGAUUACCUUGAAUGGUCCUUCCCAUUUACUCCGGAGUUUUCCAUGUCCGAAAAGCUUCACCCUAGAAUUAAUAAGUAAUACCUUAUCUCCAGGUGCGAACUCCUUCUUCUUGAUCCUCUUGUCAUACCACCUUUUGACUCUUUCUUUGUAGAUCUUCGAAUUGUGAUAUGCUUUCUCUCGCCAUUCUUCCAAUUCUGAUAGUUGCAUUCUUCUAUGAUCUCCAGCAACAUCUAGGUCCAUAUUCCAUCUCCUUAUGGCCCAGUGUGCUUUGAAUUCUAGUUCAAGAGGUAGGUGGCAAGUCUUCCCGUACACCAAUUGGUAUGGGGACAUUCCAAUUGGGGUCUUGUAUGCUGUCCGGUAUGCCCAGAGUGCAUCGGGUAACUUGUCUUUCCAUGUCGUUCCCAUUUCAUUCACUGUCUUCUGAAGAAUAUUCUUGAUUUGCUUGUUGGAAGUCUCUGCUUGGCCACUUGUCUGAGGAUGAUAGGGGGUAGCGACGUUGUGACGGAUUCCAUGUUUUGAUAGAUAUUGCUUGAAGCGUUUGUCGAUGAAGUGUGCUCCUCCAUCACUUAUCACUACUCUGGGAACUCCAAAUCUUGGAAAUAUAAUUUCUUCAAACAUCCUCUUUGAACUGAUGUUGUCGGCAUUCUUGCAAGGUAAUGCCUCUACCCACUUGGAUACGUAGUCAACUGCCACCAAGAUGUACUCACACUUCUUUGAUGGAGGAAAUGGACCCAUAUAGUCUAUUCCCUAGACAUCAAAGAGCUCAAUUUGAAGGUUGUUGGUGAGUGGCAUGGCAUCUCUUGUGUUUAUGUUUUCGUGCCUUUGAUAUGGCCCACAUCUUCUGAUAUAUUGCUUCGUUUCUUCAUACAUUGUAGGCCAGUAGAAUUCACACUGCCAAAUCUUUGAAUGUGUACGGAAUGCUCCAUAGUGACCUCCAUAUGGUGAUGAAUGACAUCUGUCGAUGAUCUUCCAUCCUUCCUCAGUGGUCACACACCUCCUAAGUAAGCCAUCAGAGCAUACUCGGAAGAGGUAUGGCUCAUCCCAUAUAUGUGAACGACUUUCUUGAAUAAGCUUCUUCUUUUUUGCUCCUGGUGGUACAUACCCUGAAACCAUAAAAUUAAUCAUAUCUGCAUACCAGGGGUCAGACCUGUUAAUCCCGUAGAGCAUGUCGUCCCGGAGUGAAUCAUUGAUGGGGGUUUCCUGUGGAUUCUUAAAAUACAUCCUAGACAAGUGAUCAGCAACAGAAUUUUCCACUCCCUUUUUAUCUUUUAUUUCUAAGUCAAAUUCUUGAAGUAAUAAGAUCCAUCUAAUCAGGCGAGGUUUAGCAUCUUUUUUAGUGAGCAGAUAUUUUAGUGCAGCAUGAUCAGUGUAAACAAUUAUUUUAGCUCCAACUAAAUAAGAUCUAAAUUUAUCAAUGACAAAGACAACAGCCAGAAGCUCUUUUUUAGUGGUUGCAUAAUUAAGUUGAGCUCCUGUCAAGGUUUUACUGGCAUAUGCAAUUGCAUGAUGCUUCUUAUUUUUAGUUUGUCCCAAAACUGCCCCCACAGCAUAAUCACUAGCAUCACACAUAAUUUCAAAAGGCAACGACCAAUCAGGGGGUUGAAUGAUUGGUGCAGAGAUGAGUGCAUUCUUUAAUAAAUUGAAAGAUGUUAGGCAUGCAUCAUCAAAUUCGAAAGGAGCAUCCUUGGCUAGCAAAAGAGUAAGUGGUCUAGCAAUAAAUGAAAAAUCUUUUAUAAAUCUGCGAUAAAAACUAGCAUCGCCAAGAAAGCUUCGAAUUCCUUUUAUAUUCACAGGUGGAGGUAGUUGUUCAAUUACUUCAAUUUUAGCUUUGUCUACCUCAAUACCUCUUUCAGACACUAGGUGUCCCAGCACUAUUCCUUCCCUAACCAUAAAAUGUCAUUUUUCCCAAUUAAGGACUAAGUGCUUUUCUUCACAUCUUUGCAAAACCUUGUCUAAGUUUUCAAGACAUCUAUCAAAUGUUUUUCCAUAAACAGAGAAAUCAUCCAUGAAAACUUCCAUAAUCUCUUCAAUCAUAUCAGAAAAUAUAGACAUCAUGCAUCUUUGAAAAGAAGCUGGUGCAUUACAUAACCCAAAAGACAUUCUACGGUAAGCAUAAGUUCCAUAUGGGCAUGUAAAAGUGGUUUUGCUUUGAUCAUCGGGAUGGAUCGGGAUCUGGUGAUACCCUGAAUACCCAUCUAAGAAACAGAAGAACGAAUGGUUCGCUAAUCGCUCAAGCAUCUCAUCUAUGAAAGGUAAAGGAAAAUGAUCCUUUCUCGUGGCUUUGUUCAGUUUUCUAUAGUCUAUGCACAUCCGCCAUCCUGUGACGGUGCGUUGCGGAAUUAGCUCGUUCUUUUCAUUCAUAAUGACAGUCAUGCCUCCGUUUUUAGGCACAACUUGAACUGGGCUCACCCACUCACUAUGCGGCACAGGAUAUAUAAUCCCUGCAUGCAACAAUUUUAUAACUUCCUUUUUAACUACCUCUCUCAUAGUGUUGUUAAGUCUGCGUUGGGGUUCUCAAGAAGGUGAAACAGAAGGAUCUAUUGGAAUACGAUGGGUACAAAUCAUAGGACUGAUUCCUGUAAGAUCUUGGAGUGAGUAGCCGAAAACUGAGUGAUGUUUCUCAAGAAUGGUCAUUAAUCGCAGAGUUUGCUCCUGAGUGAGUUUAUCACUAAUGAUCACAAGAAACUCUGGAUUAUUGUUUAGGAAAGCAUAGAUAAGACCGGGUGGUAAAGUUUUAAGCUCUAUGGGAGGUCUAGGCGUUUCUGCAAACUCAUCUAAGGGUUCACGUUCAGAAGGUUCGGCCUCUUCUUCUGUGAAGAAAGGAGUUUCGUCUUCUAAGUCUGCUUCAUCUAAAAGCUCUAGAGAUGCAGCCUUUACCUCCUCCAUAGGAUCAGGCAAAAGAUAUGACUCGGCCUUAUUAUUUAAGGAGUGUGAAAUUGUUAUUGGAAAUUUAAAGGUUUUCCCAAAAGAAAUGUGUAGCUUUCUAGUAUUACCUUCAUAAAGGAGUCUUCUAAAAGGUUGUUCUAUCAACAGGUCAAAGUACCAUGUAUAGAAGUUCAAAUAAACCAUGGAGCCUUCUACCGUAAGAGGUAGGACAUUAAUAAUUCCAAGACUGGGGACUAAUCGUCCCGAAGAUUCCUUUAUGACUUUUGUUGUGGGGGUUAAGACAAGAUUUUUAAAUAAUUUAAGUGCAAAAGAUUCAGACAUGAUGUUGAUCCCCACAACAGGAUUAUAGAGAGCAUCAAAUCGAUGAGAAUCAUAAGCACAGUGUAUAGUUAUAGAGGGUGUGUCCAAACGGAUCACAUCAGAGGAAAGCUCUGAUUCCUCCAACCAUUCGCUACUCAUGACUGCGAUAAGCUCUCUUAAUUUAUAUUCAGUUGGCAAACAAAUGCUAAAAUGGCCGUUUUGGGGUUUGUCUAUAGAAUGGUAUUUUGAAAUGUUUCCAAAAUCGGCAAAAAGAUCUGAUUCUAUAUCCAGCAUGAAGUCAGGUGGUGGAAUUUCUUUCUUUUGUGGCUCAGAACUUGGGAUAGCUAAAGUAGAUGGAGAAUUUGGCAGAGUGUCUACUUUGGCUUUGUGGGUUUCAUCAUGAAGGGUAUUAUCUAUCUCAGCUUCUAGGAUUCUAUCUAGGAUCACUCUAGCAUCAUCAGUAGAGAUGCGAAAGAAAGAACGUCUAGACAUUGUAUGUAGCAUUUGUUUGUGAUCUUCCUGAAGACCUCAAAAAAAUUGAAAUAAAAGAACAGGGUCUUCAAGAUUAAGGUUUGGACCAGAUUCUAAAAGAUCAGAAAAACGUUUCUAGGAUUUUCCCAAAGUUUCAUUAUCUUUUUGUUUAAAAGAUAGGACUUCGAGUCUAAGGUCGCUGAUACGGUCGAGGGAAUAAAAAUCUAAACAAAAGUUGGCUCGUAAAACUCCCCAUUCACCUCGUUGUUGACUUACCUUCUGAUUAUACCAUUGUCUAGCUUCUCCCCUUAAAGAAAAAGGAAAAAGCUUCCAACGUAAAGUUUUAUCAGAAAUGCCUUCAAUGCGAAGACAAUCAUAUGUUUGCUCAAAAUCUCUAAUACGAAGGUAAGGGUUUUCGUCUUCCUUUCCAGAAAAAGAUAGGUUUUGAAUCAUGGCAAUCAACCUGGAACUUAACCUAUACUGGGAUGUUUGAAUAGGCUGUGAUGACUCCAAUGGUAAAAGGUCAGUUACUGAAGGGAUUGCAGAUUCGUGGAUCGAUUUAGAAUUUUGGUUUUUCCAUAAGGUAAGAAUAAAGAAAAUAAAUAAAAAAUAUAAAAGAUAAGAAAAGAUAAAAGUAUAGAUACAAGCUAGUAGUAAGACUCAAGGUUAUCUCAGCAAACCGUCUUUCUCCCCGGCAACGGCGCUAGAAAUGCUUGUUGAUAUUUGGGAACACAAUAAGGAAUUGAUCCGCAAGCGCACGGAUAUCGGUGAGCACUUCACCCGGGAGGUUAUCUAGAGUAUCGUAUUUAUUUUUUUACCACUAGGAGAAAGAGUGCAUCUGACUAACCUGGUCUAUUACUACUAACCUUUAGGCUACAAAGAAUGUUUCUCGAUGUGAGUGAUAUAUAGAGAAGACUACAACUGUAAUCUCUUUCUAACCUUGGUAAGGAUGAUCUAUUGUUCUAUUGAGGAAGCUUACGGAAUCUAGACACCACAGAGGAUGUUCAACCCGCACCUAUAAACCCUAUCCUUCCUGCUAACGAGAUAUGGUUUGCAAAGGUAACUCGGAAAUGUCACGUUCCUCGCUACUACCACAGUCCAGCUAGUCAGGGGAUAUCUAUGAGUAUCCUAGCCCAAACACCACGUCUACGCUAGAGAUGAUUACUCUAAAACUCUACGCGA
rnacentral:lncRNA from 1 species